UGCAGUCGACGGCAGCACAGUGUAGCAAUACAUGGGUGGCGAGUGGCGCACGGGUGCGUAACACGUAUGCAAUUUGCCCAUAACUGGGGGAUAGCCCUCCGAAAGGAGGAUUAAUACCCCAUAACCCAGCGAGGUGGCAUCACCUUUCUGGUAAAUCUCCGGAGGUUAUGGAUGAGCAUGCGUCCGAUUAGCUAGUUGGUGAGGUAACGGCUCACCAAGGCAACGAUCGGUAGGGGGUCUGAGAGGAUGAUCCCCCACACGGGUACUGAGACACGGACCCGACUCCUACGGGAGGCAGCAGUAAGGAAUAUUGGACAAUGGAGGCAACUCUGAUCCAGCCAUGCCGCGUGAAGGAUGAAGGCCCUACGGGUUGUAAACUUCUUUUCUCUUAGAAAAAACUACUGGUUUCGUACCGGUACUGAUUGUACAAGAGGAAUAAGCAUCGGCUAACUUCGUGCCAGCAGCCGCGGUAAUAUGAAGGAUGCAAGCGUUAUCCGGAUUCACUGGGUUUAAAGGGUGUGCAGGUGGGGUAAUAAGUCAGUGGUGAAAGCCCCCGACUCAAUCGGGGAACUGCCAUAGAUACUGUUAUUCUUGAGUGUGGUUGAGGCGGAUGGAAUAUGACAUGUAGCGGUGAAAUGCUUAGAUAUGUCAUAGAACACCGAUCGCGAAGGCAGUCCGCCAAACCAUUACUGACACUGAAACACGAAAGUGCGGGGAUCAAACAGGAUUAGAUACCCUGGUAGUCCGCACCGUANACGAUGAUCACUCGUUGUUGGCGAUACACAGUCAGCGACUAAGCGAAAGCAUUAAGUGAUCCACCUGGGAAGUACGACCGCAAGGUUGAAACUCAAAGGAAUUGACGGGGGCCCGCACAAGCGGAGGAGCAUGUGGUUUAAUUCGAUGGUACGCGAGGAACCUACCUGG
rnacentral:rRNA from 1 species